rnacentral:snRNA from 4 species
GUGCUCGCUUUGGCAGCACAUAUACUAAAAUUGGAACGAUACAGAGAAGAUUAGCAUGGCCCCUGCACAAGGAUGACACGCAAAUUCGUGAAGCAUUCCAUAUUUUU